GACAACGCUGGCGGCGUGCCUAACACAUGCAAGUCGAACGGUCCGGCACUCAACCGACCCUCAGUCUAGCUGUAGGUGAAGUUGAGUGCCGGAUAGUGGCGGACGGGUGAGUAACGCGUGGGCAACCAACCCUGUACAGUGGGAUAACACCGGGAAACCGGUGCUAAUACCGCAUGACACCUAGAUGGUGCAUACUGUUUAGGUUAAAGGAUUUAACCGGUACAGGACGGGCCCGCGUCCCAUUAGCUGGUUGGUGAGGUAACGGCUCACCAAGGCGACGAUGGGUAGCCGACCUGAGAGGGUGACCGGCCACACUGGGACUGAGACACGGCCCAGACUCCUACGGGAGGCAGCAGUGGGGAAUAUUGCGCAAUGGACGGAAGUCUGACGCAGCGACGCCGCGUGAGCGACGAAGGCCUUCGGGUCGUAAAGCUCUGUUCUUGGGGACGAAUAAAAUGACGGUACCCAAGGAGAAAGCCCCGGCUAACUACGUG
rnacentral:rRNA from 1 species